GUACGUAGGGUGCGAGCGUUGUCCGGAAUUACUGGGCGUAAAGAGCUCGUAGGUGGUUUGUCGCGUCGUCUGUGAAAUUCCGGGGCUUAACUCCGGGCGUGCAGGCGAUACGGGCAUAACUUGAGUACUGUAGGGGAGACUGGAAUUCCUGGUGUAGCGGUGAAAUGCGCAGAUAUCAGGAGGAACACCGGUGGCGAAGGCGGGUCUCUGGGCAGUAACUGACGCUGAGGAGCGAAAGCAUGGGUAGCGAACAGGAUUAGAUACCCUGGUAGUCCAUGCCGUAAACGGUGGGCGCUAGGUGUAGGGGUCUUCCACGACUUCUGUGCCGUAGCUAACGCAUUAAGCGCCCCGCCUGGGGAGUACGGCCGCAAGGCUAAAACUCAAAGGAAUUGACGGGG
rnacentral:rRNA from 1 species